ACACGCUAAUGCUACUGGUUAUACAAGAGCUCCAGUCAGGGCACACUGAGCCCUCUCUUAGCUGUUGGAACACUCCGAUCUUUGUCAUCAAAAAAUGUUCUGGUGCUUUUUGCUUCAUGACUUGUGUGCAGUUAAUGCUCAGCUUGUCCCUUUUGGUUUGGUUCAGCUAUACUGCAAAAAUGACCAAUGGUAGUUACAGAUUUAAAGGACUGUUUCUUCUCCAUUCCCCUUGCGGUGCAAGACAGAGAGGCAUUUGCUUUCAC
rfam:Callipepla squamata strain Texas jcf7180005233428, whole genome shotgun sequence.